rnacentral:lncRNA from 1 species
AGAAAAAGGUUUUGUGGGACUUCAAGCUACAUUUUGGAGACUUUCUUUAGAACAUACAUACAAUAUUAUAAAGGCAAAUCUAGGUGUAAGAGUCAAACUUAUUUAGAAUGAAAUAACACAACAAAACCAAAUCUAAAAAAUUGAGGUUAACUUAAAACACAAAAAUCAAACAUUGCUAUAGCUUCUCUCAGAAACUUUGAAGGUGUCUCAAACAAAUGAGGUGACAGGAAAUGUUUUAUUACAGGCAUGGUAAAUCCCACUCUGUGAACAGUUUACGAGCACUUGCUAUAUGACAAACAUCAAAUCAGGCACUUUGUAUAUUUUAUCUGUUACAUUGUAUUUCACAUUUUAAUCCUGUUUAUAAAUUAGGAAGGUGAUGCUCAGAAAGAUUAAGAAACUUGUCUGAGAUCAUAGAGCUAAUAACUGAGAACAAAAAUCGAUACAUUUAAAUCUGAUUUAUUCUAAAUCACUCUUCUUGCACAGUAUUUAAAAUUUAAUCAACACACCACUGAAAAUAGCAUUUAAUGUCAUGUCACUUGCACUUAAACAUGAAGAGGCAGAUAUACUUCCUCCCUUCCUCAUUCAUCCUUUCAACUAAUUUUAUAUAUAAAUUAAAUCUUGACUAUGGAUUACUGCUUUAAUAGCAAAUUCUUUUAUGAACACUUGUUGUGUGCCUAGAUUCUGAGAACAUCUUUGUUUUGUAAUAGGUGCUGCAUAAGAAUUGAACAGGACAUGGUAUUUUUUUUAAAUCACAGUAGUACUAUUAAUGAGGUACUUACAUUCCACUUAAUGAUUGCUGAAAACUGAGCACUCAACAUUUCUUUAGAUUCAUUUUGGAAUUUUGGGUUUUUUUUCCCCCAAGCAAAGAAUCUGCAGAAAUAUAGCCUGUAGGCUUAGGUUUAUAAUUCAAUUGAGACCUGGCUUUUGAGUCUUCUAGAAACACAGAGCACCAGAAUCUUAACUGUGCUUUGCUCAGUGUCUGCUCAGAUUACUUAUUUUUGCUAAUUCCUUGCUAGCUUGGAG